CCCGCUCCGAGCUGCCAGGCCCGCGCCUUAUUUGGGUCUUGUCUCCUCCCAGACAACAUUUCGUGGCCUUAAAAGGAAGGCCUGGGGGGCUGAGGGGGGCAGUUGCCAGUGCUGGCUCCACAGCCUCUCCAGCUAUGCCCCCGCCCCUGGUUUGGCCAGUCCAUCCCUCCAGCUGUGGAGAAAACCAGUCCCCCAAAACCAGACCAGCCAGGGCGGCUGGGGAGGGUGAGGGGGGUUCUCCUCCGGUAGGGGUGG
rnacentral:lncRNA from 1 species